UCUUCCUACUAGCCCAAGUGUAAAAUUAGGCAUGAAAAUAAAACAUGUUUAUCAAAAUUAAGGACCUUCCUUAUACUUUCUGCCUGUUUCAACCUAAAACCUAAGAAGAACAAAUAAUUCAUUAGACAGAAAUGCUUUUCCAAUUUCUAGCUUAAUGACCCAACUUGUCAACAAUACUGUUGAUAGUAUCUGAAGCUUUGUCCAAAAUUUCCUGCUCCACUUUAGAAUGUUCCAAUCCAUCCCUUAAAGUCUUCAACUGGUCCUUGGAUGACGCGUCAAACAAAAGGCUAAAAGAACCUUUAAGCAGCAUACCACCGGUGUAUAGUCCUCCCAGCACAGUGCAACGAAUCAAGAAGCUCUCCACUUCAUCCAAUUUAACCAACUUGACAUGCAAACGUGAAAAAGCGG
rnacentral:lncRNA from 1 species